rnacentral:rRNA from 1 species
UACGAAGGGGGCUAGCGUUGCUCGGAAUUACUGGGCGUAAAGGGCGCGUAGGCGGACAGUUUAGUCAGAGGUGAAAGCCCAGGGCUCAACCUUGGAAUUGCCUUUGAUACUGGCUGUCUUGAGUUCGGGAGAGGUGAGUGGAAUGCCGGGUGUAGAGGUGAAAUUCGUAGAUAUUCGGCGGAACACCAGUGGCGAAGGCGACUCACUGGACAGAUACUGACGCUGAGGCGCGAAAGCGUGGGGAGCAAACAGG